GAAAGACCUGAGAGAGACCCCAGAGAGCGAGGGGACCGUCCUGAUAGGUCUCGCGGUGAUGAUGCAUUUGAAAAAUCAAGAGAUAGAUCAACGGAGCGGCAUGGAAGAGAACGUUCAAUUGAGAGAGUACAUGAGAGAGUUGCUGAUAGGAACUUUGAUAGGUUGAGUAAGGAUGAAAGGAUCAAAGAUGAUAGGAGCAAGCUGCGACAUAAUGAAGCAUCUGUAGAAAAAUCUCUUACAGAUGAUCGGUUUCAUAAUCAAAAUUUGCCUCCACCUCCACCACUGCCUCCUCAUCUGGUCCCGCAAUCCAUUAGUGCAGGCAGGAGAGAGGACGAUUCUGAUAGACGUUUUGGAACUGCCAGACAUAGUC
rnacentral:misc_RNA from 1 species